UUGCCUACGGGUGGCAGCAGUAGGGAAUAUUGGACAAUGGGUGAGAGCCUGAUCCAGCCAUGCCGCGUGCAGGAAGAAGGCGUUAUGCGUUGUAAACUGCUUUUGCCAGGGGAUAAAACGGUUCUGCGGAACUAAUUGAAGGUACCUGGUGAAUAAGCCACGGCUAACUACGUGCCAGCAGCCGCGGUAAUACGUAGGUGGCAAGCGUUGUCCGGAUUUAUUGGGUUUAAAGGGUGCGUAGGCGGCCCUGUAAGUCAGGGCUGAAAUUUCCCGGCUUAACCGGGAGGGUGGCAUUGAUACUGCAGGGCUUGAGUACAGAUGAGGUAGGCGGAAUUGACGGUGUAGCGGUGAAAUGCAUAGAUAUCGUCAAGAACACCGAUAGCGAAGGCAGCUUACCAAGCUGUAACUGACGCUGAGGCACGAAAGUGUGGGGAUCAAACAGGAUUAGAUACCCGAGUAGUCG
rnacentral:rRNA from 1 species